rnacentral:rRNA from 1 species
GUGCCAGCCGCCGCGUAAUUCCAGCUCCAAUAGCGUAUAUUAAAGUUGUUGCAGUUAAAAAGCUCGUAGUUGAAACUUGGGCCUGGCUGGCGGGUCCGCCUCACCGCGUGCACUCGUCCGGCCGGGCCUUCCUUCUGAAGAACCUCAUGCCCUUCACUGGGCGUGAUGAGGAAUCAGGACUUUUACUUUGAAAAAAUUAGAGUGUUCAAAGCAGGCCUUUGCUCGAAUACGUUAGCAUGGAAUAAUAAAAUAGGGCGUGCGUUUCUAUUUUGUUGGUUUCUAGAGACGCCGCAAUGAUUAACAGGAACAGUCGGGGGCAUCAGUAUUCAGUUGUCAGAGGUGAAAUUCUUGGAUUUACUGAAGACUAGCUACUGCGAAAGCUUUUGCCAAGGAUGUUUUCAUUAAUCAGUGAACGAAAGUUAGGGGAUCGAAGACGAUCAGAUACCGUCGUAGUCUUAACCGUAAACUAUGCCGACUAGGGAUCGGGCGAUGUUCUUUUUCUGACUCGCUCGGCACCUUACGAGAAAUCAAAGUUUUUGGGUUCUGGGGGGAUUAUGGUCGCAAGGCUGAAACUUAAAGAAAUUGACGGAAGGUCACCACCAGGCGUGGAGCCUGCGGCUUAAUUUGACUCAACACGGGGAAACUCACCAGGUCCAGAUGAAAUAAGGAUUGACAGAUGAGAGCUCUUUCUUGAUUUUUCAGGUGGUGGUGCAUGGCCGUUCAUAGUCGUGGGUGACUUGUCUGCUUAAUGCGAUAACGAGCGAGACCUUACUCUGCUAAAUAGCCAGGCUAGCUUUGGCUGGUCGCCGGCUUCUUAGGAGAGACU